GUCUAUGGCCAUACCACCCUCAACGCGCCCGAUCUCGUCUGAUCUCAAAAGCUAAGCUGGGUCUGGUUAGUACUUGGAUGGAAGAAUUACCAGUGACC
rnacentral:rRNA from 1 species